UACGAAGGGGGCUAGCGUUGUUCGGAAUCACUGGGCGUAAAGCGCACGUAGGCGGAUCUUCAAGUCAGGGGUGAAAUCCCGAGGCUCAACCUCGGAACUGCCUUUGAUACUGGGGAUCUCGAGUCCGGGAGAGGUGAGUGGAACUGCGAGUGUAGAGGUGAAAUUCGUAGAUAUUCGCAAGAACACCAGUGGCGAAGGCGGCUCACUGGCCCGGAACUGACGCUGAGGUGCGAAAGCGUGGGGAGCAAACAGG
rnacentral:rRNA from 1 species